CUGGGAAAGAGAUUGUGGAAAAGGCAAGUAGAGAAUAAAAUGGAAGGACUCAUGCUGUAUUGAUAACUUUCGACUGGUUUAGUUAUUUAAACAAGAAAACCAAACCGUUUGAUUUUUUAAAAUUACAUUAUUAGUGGUUUGCCUGAACUGACUAGCUAUUUGGUCAAAAAGAGUGGAUAAAUUGUGGGUAUGUAGACAAGAUACAUAUAGUAUGCUGAUGAAAGUCACACAUUCUUAUUGCUGGUUCAGUUUAGAUGCUCAAUAACGCACAGCUGUGAUGUCUCUUGUCCAAUAAUCAUGGGACUGCUCCUGUUGCCAACUUUGCCUGUAGUUCACCAAAGUCAAGUUGCCCAAGCCACUAUGCAAGAAAUGCCUUUUGCCCUCUGCCAUGAUUGUGAGACCUCUCCAGCCAUGUGGAACUCUGCCAUGUAA
rnacentral:lncRNA from 1 species